rnacentral:lncRNA from 1 species
AAGCAUCUUAUUAUAUCAAAUGAAUUAACAUAAUAUCCUUAUAAAACAAUUGCGGAACAUACAUUACUCCCAAGGUUUGAAAACCUUAACUAAUACACCACUUAACAUUACUUUAUAAUAUAACUAUUGUUCUAAUAUUACAAAAUUUCUUCUAACUUUAACUUCUUCUUUCCCUCGACGAUACCAAAUUCUUCGGUCUUCUCUGGCUUAGCUGUAAUUUUAUUAGAAUUUGAAAGAGUGAGCAUUUAAUUAACUAGUUGAAUAAACAACAGAAUCAAGAAUCAAAUCAAUAUUCUUUGAAAACUCCAAUAAACAAAAAUAAUUAUGGAGUAGCUUGAAUAAAUAAAAAUUAAAUCGGAUUCCUACCACUUAACACCUUCCUUACCAUUUUAAGAGAAAACACUCUCUAAUCCUUCUAAGACUCAACUCAUCCUAACAAAUACAUAUGUGGAAAGAAUCACUUUCUCAACAUAUACAUAAGAACAACACGACACAAGUGUUCAACAGUUAUCAAUGUAGUGAAUUGAGUGUUCACAAAUCCCCUGCCCAUACAAAGGUUUGUUUAACUCAGCUACCACACAUCAACGAUCAAAAAGCAUAUGAUUGUACUCACACUUAACCAUAGUUAACAUCGUAACAUCUAACUAAUUGAAAUUAUUUAUAUCAACUCACCUUGAAACCAACUUGUCUCUGUUCUUCUCUAAUACUCAACAUGUGUCCAAUGAAAAUAAUUAGCAUGAACUAAUCAUAACAUAACUCAUAAAUUAAUCAGAACUUUAAUAAUCUGAACAGUUCAAAAUUAGAACAAUAAUUUCACAUAAACACAUAAGUGCAUAUAUUGGCAAACAGUGCAAUUCAUAGUACAAUUAUAAUACAAUUGCACACAAAACUCGCAUUUGAUUCACAAUUUGAAUUAAAUUAGAAGACUUGCUCAAUAAAAUUUGAGAAAGUUCAAGAAACUUGCUUGAAGUGUUCUUUAAUUUAUACGCUAAAUCUUCCUUCAAUCGAUAACCUACAUCAUCCAUGAAAAUUUAUUUGAUUAAAUUAAUCAUCACCUAUAAUAUAUAAUCAUCGACGGUAAUUAUUGCAACCUAUUUUGAUAAUUAAUCUUCCAACUUAAACCAACGUAAAUGUCUCCUCAAAUUAUUUUUAUAAAAUUCUCAUAAAAAAAUUUGAUUAACCUUUAUAUAGACUCAUACACCACGUAUCAACAUAUUUUAGUCGGUAGAAAUUAUUUCAACGACUCCCGACUCGUCGAUUUUUAAUUACUUUCAUUCCGUUGAAAGCCUAAUUCUCCCAUUAAUCCUUCCUAACCACUUAAUUAUUCUUUUCUCUUUUGGAAAUACAUACUUACAUAUAUUCAACACAUAAAAAUAAUUUUGUUAUAAUUUUUCAAAUUUCUAAUGUAUUUUUCAAAGAGCCAUUUUAGUUCGUAACAUAGCAAAAUUAGCUAUAUCAUGCUCAACUCCAAAAAUUCCCAAAUCUUGGAUAAAUCUUAAACAUAUUAACAUGAACUACCACUUUAAAUUUUGUGGCCAUCGGAGUUAUAGAACUCAAGUUAUAGCAAUUUUUGUCGAAAAAAAUCCUAAUAUUGAAUUAGCUAUAUCUCCUUUCUCCUAAGUUAGAAUUUGUUCAUCUUUGGACCAGAACUUCAUUAUACCAUAUAUUUUUAUGUCCCAAAAGUAAUUAAUUUAUUUCAAUGCUAAGUAGGUAAAAAAGCCCACGAAAAGUUUAGAGCAACCUACUUUUUGGCUUUUCCAGUUUUGGUCAAAACUAUCCAUACGAAAAUCUAAAAAGAAUUUUUCAAAGCUUCCAAUUGGAGUUGUUAGGGAACUCAUAGAUAUAACUCCAGAACUUGAUCACACUUAAAAAUUCAAAAUAGUCUAGGUGUUAUGCUUGUUCAAAUUUUAGUCUUUGUUUUCUCGAAAAACAAUUUUCUACUAACUUUUGUAGUUUUGACUAGUCUCCUUCCGAAAGGCAUAUCUCUUACCUCUGGACUCGGAAUGAGAUCAUUAUUACGUCAACAAACUCUUUACUUAACUUACUACAUAACCCCUAAAUAGGAAAAAAUUUCCAGCAAACCAUUUGGUACAGAAAACUACUCAAGGGUCAGGAGUUACACUAAUUUCGUAUUUAACUAGUUUUACUUAAAAAUUCGUCAUGACUUCGUUACAAAAGCUUUUACUUCCGUUCCAAUAGGGUGAUGUUCAUGAAUCAUAAAAGUAUAACAUGAAACCCUAUAAAUUAAUUUUUAUAUUUCAUAAGCUACCUCAAAAGGUCACCAAAACAGCCCAUAACAUUCCACUAAUUGUCCGUUCUUGUAUUCCUUUACGCAUAUUCUCAUUUUUUAUUCCACUUUUCAUGCAAUUUAACAAGUAGUUUAAGAUGUUUAAACCACACACAUCCUUAUUUCUCCAAGAUAUUUUAUGAUCUUCCAUAAACAACAACCACCAACAACUAAGCAUAAUAAAAGGCUUUAAAUGAUGAAGUAGAAGUUAGGGUUCAUAGUCUUACCUUUCUCUUGCUCUUCUCUUUCCUUGAUCUUGGUUAGGACUUGAUAAAUCAAAGCUAGCUUCCCUCUCCUCGUUGUCUGAACCUCAUAAGAGGAAAUGAAUGAACAAAUGAACAAGUAACCAAGUGUUGGAUUAAUUAAUUCCCCCACCAACUUAAUCAACCGUGCUACCAAUGUUUAACAACACAUGAUCAAUUAACUUAUGCCAGAAAAAAUAAUAACAUUAAAGCCAUGUUUGGUUUGAAACAAUUGGGUGGAGGGAAUAAACAUUAAAUGACUUGCUUCCUAUGGACCAUAACUUACCAAAAAUGGAAAGUUUCCAUCCAACUCUCCUUCUCUUCUCAUGCCAUCCGUG